CCUACGGGAGGCAGCAGUGGGGAAUAUUGCACAAUGGGGGAAACCCUGAUGCAGCGACGCCGCGUGAGUGAAGAAGUAAUUCGUUAUGUAAAGAUCUAUCAGAAGGGAAGAAAAUGACGGUACCUGAGUAAGAAGCCCCUGCCAAAUACGUGCCAGCAGCCGCGGUAAUACGUAGGGGGCAAGCGUUAGCCGGAUUUACUGGGUGUAACGGGAACGUAGAUGGCAGUGCAAGACUGGAGUGAAAGUCGGGGGGUCAACCCCCGGACUGCUCUGGAAACUGUACGGCUGGAGUGCGGGAGAGGUAAGUGGAAUUCCUAGUGUAGCGGUGAAAUGCAUAGAUAUUAGGAGGAACACCAGUGGCGAAGGCAGCUUACUGGACUUUAACUGACGUUGAGGGUCGAAAGCGUGGGGAGCAAACAGGAUUAGAUACCCCAGUAGUC
rnacentral:rRNA from 1 species